GAGAGCUAGAAAAAUCACACGCGGGAUGAACUGUAAGUUAUGUGUAUGUCUGUUUUUUUUUUUUUUUCAGCUCGACAUGGACAAAAUAAAAGAAAAGUUACUGAAGACGCCAAAUCUUCCAAAGAAAGUGGACAAAUUUAAGAACUACUUGAAGCAUUCGCACAAAGUCACAGAUGAAGCUGAGUUAACGAAACUCUGGGACUGGGUAAAGGCGAACAAGUGACACAAAGGCCUGGCGUUAUUAUUCAGAAAAAUUAAAGAACGUUUUAUUAAACAUUUUGCUUCCCUUGUUUUUAAUAAAUUCGUUUUUUUUU